CAGCAGCCACGGUAAUACGGAGGGCGCGAGCGUUACCCGGAUUUACUGGGCGUAAAGGGCGUGUAGGCGGCCUGGGGCGUCCCAUGUGAAAGGCCACGGCUCAACCGUGGAGGAGCGUGGGAUACGCUCAGGCUAGAGGGUGGGAGAGGGUGGUGGAAUUCCCGGAGUAGCGGUGAAAUGCGCAGAUACCGGGAGGAACGCCGAUGGCGAAGGCAGCCACCUGGUCCACUUCUGACGCUGAGGCGCGAAAGCGUGGGGAGCAAGCAGGAUUAGAUACCCCAGUAGUCCCUGUCUCUUAUAC
rnacentral:rRNA from 1 species